GUUGUGGCUCAGUGGUAGAGCGCUUGCCUAGCAUCUAUGAGGCACUGGGUUUGAUCCUCAGCACGACA
rnacentral:tRNA from 1 species